UACAGAGGGGGCAAGCGUUGUUCGGAAUUACUGGGCGUAAAGGGCGCGUAGGCGGCCUUCUAAGUCGAACGUGAAAUCCCCGGGCUCAACCCGGGAACUGCGUCCGAUACUGGAAGGCUUGAAUCCGGGAGAGGGAUGUGGAAUUCCAGGUGUAGCGGUGAAAUGCGUAGAUAUCUGGAGGAACACCCGUGGCGAAGGCGGCUCUCUGGGACGGUACUGACGCUGAGACGCGAAAGCGUGGGGAGCAAACAGG
rnacentral:rRNA from 1 species